GGGGAUGUAGCUCAGUGGUAGAGCGCACCCUUUGCAUGUGUGAGGCCCCGGGUUCAAUCCCCGGCAUCUCCA
rfam:Ciona savignyi cont_46426, whole genome shotgun sequence.